rnacentral:lncRNA from 1 species
AUUAUAAAAUAGGAUGAAAUUACUUGAACAAGAAAAAAUAAAUUCUCUAAUAAUAACAACACAAUUUCAAAGUGGAUAAAUAUUUCACAUUUGAUUAGCUAAGCAAAGAUUACAAAAUGUCUCCAGAUGAUAUCGUUAUAAUAAUAAGUAGGGGUCCGGCUCCGGCGAGGGUAAAAAAAAAAAAAUCACGAGGGGGGAGACCAUUUCUGAUUGGCCAAUAAUUUCACAAAUCCCAAAGAAAACAUAUUAAAAAAUAAAAGCAUUCUCUGUCAAGAAAAGUUUAAAAAAAUAUGAAAAAGUAAAAGCUAUUUUGACCUUUUUUUUUUUAAUUCUCCUUUAAAAAGAGAUUUUGUUGUAGUGUGUCAAAAACACACACAGAGAAUUAUAACUCCAAGUUACUCAGCAGCUUUGAUAAUUUGGAACAAAUAAAAGGGCGACACGUGGAUGGUUGAUUUGAACAGCAGUAUCUCGGAUAAAUGCUUUUCUAAUCCUUUAAGCAGCGCCCAGCCCCAGCAUUCAAAAUUCUGGUGCACGGUUAUUUGGUCCCCCCCUUUCAGUUCGGCUUCACGGCUUUCCCAUUCAAUUUAUUCUGCUUGUGAACUCCUUGUUAGGUGGCCGUUAGAUUUCGUGUGGAAGAGGAAAUUGCAAUUUAAAAAUGUCCCAAAUUCUAUUAUUAUUAUUAUUAUUUUUAAUUAGACAAACAAUUCUUAUUUAUUUCUAAUACUAUUUAAAAUACAUAUUUAAUAUGUAAUAUGAAGGUUGGUUAGGUUUCAUAGUUUACGAGCUUAAUAUUUAUUGAAUAAUUGAAAAAAUGAUAGGAGAAUAAUAUUAUAAUAGUAAGGUUAGUUUAGUAAUAGUCGAAUAUUCUUUCAUUUAAAAAGUAACAAUUUUCUUGCUAAGUGGUAGACCGGUAGUUCAUUAUCAUUGUUGUUCAAUUCUUUAUAGGAUAAUGAAUAAUGAUCUAUGUACAACUAUUGGUACAAUAUUUUUAUAAACAAAAAAAAAAGAAAAUAUUUUGUAGUAAUUUUUUUUUUCAAUCCUACCAUGAAUUUUUUUUUAUCUCGUAGUGAUAGUGUACUAACUAUAGAAUUUUCUAUAAUAAGAAUAUCGUUGUUGUAUUGUAUAUUUUCCCAUACAGAGAAAAUGAAAAGGCAAUUAUUCUUGACUAACCCGAUUUAUAAAUAAGCAUUAUUAGAUAUUAACAAAAUGAAGUUUUAUUUAUUUAGUGCAUGAGAGCAACACAUAAUCAUUAUAUACUUUUAUUCACGCAUCGGUUGUGAUAUAAUCUAAAUUGUCUUUUAAAUCUAUACACGAACCACUUUACUAAGCAUUAAUGAAAAUUGUUAUAUUAUU